rnacentral:sRNA from 1 species
ACAGCCUUCUCUGUGCCCCAGAGGCAUAU